AAGCUGCAUUGUUGCCAUUUCAGGUGGAUAAUUUAUGGUUUAUUCUUCAGCUUUAAAUUAGACUGAUUAUACUCUAAUUCACUUCAAGGCCUUAAAUUAUCUUCAAUGACUUCUCUUGUUCAUAUGAUAGUUUAAUUUUUUUAUUGUGCCUUGUCAUUUUGACCAAGGCUAUGCAGGAUUGCACUAGCUCCAUAAUGCAGUAAUGUUGAUAACUGAAGAUAUUAAGUUUCAAAAGGAUCUUCCAUUAGUUUGAGAAAAGCAAAAUGAAUUUUAUAGGGUUUGUCCUAUGCUAUCUCAAAGUUUUAAAACUAGGUUCUCUUUAAAAGCACUUGUAUUGGAGAUUAUUGGUAGUAUCUCCAAUCUAAGUUCUGUAAAUACAGGAGAACCAGCUUACCUUCAAGGUAAGUUAUGGCAAUACACUGCUUCAAUUCUAAUUUAUUGUUCAUUUCAGGGGGCAAAUAUGCAAUGAAUUGGCCCAAAAUUUUAGUAAAAUUUGUGAUGUUUGUCUAUAUGUUAACUGUCCAACAAACUAAGAGAAGCAUAACAAAGCUUUGCUUGUGUUUCUUUGUGGGUGUAUCCAAGUUUACAAUGAUUGAGAACUGAUUGAGGUUAAGGUUUCAAUAAGAAGAAAGCAUGUUUUGUGCUGAAUUAUUUUUUUUUUUAAUUUAUAGUGACUUACAUUUAUAUGAAGAAUUCUGUACAUGUUAAAAGUAAGGAUGACCAAAUGUAAAUUUAAUGAGUGGGCCAAUUAAGAUAUAUAUGCACUUUUAAUGUGUAACUUUUGUAUGCUCAGUGGUACAUAUAUUUUUUUGCUUUUGAGGGAAUUAAUAAGGUAUAAUUAAUUGUGUCUUAACUUUUGAAAAUUUCUAAGGAUGGAUGGAGGCAACUGGGAUGUUUGUGAUAAUAGAUAAGAAAGAUAUCCUUGAUUAUAGUUAAAUUGGUUUGAAUUUCAGAUAUUCAUUACUGAAUUUGCUCCUGUUUUAUCACACUUUGGAGAAGUCACCUGAACAGUAAACAAAUCUUGAACAGCAUCCUCUCCUUCUAAAAACAAUGAACUGAUACUAUUUGCAGACUAAAGGAGAGAACCCUUAGAAUAUGUCAGGCCACACUCUAGACAUUUUUUCCCCCUAGCUUUCUCCUUUCUGUUUCAGUUACUGUACUAACAUUGUGGAUGAUAUUGAAAUUCUGCAUAAUGUGAACAGGAUAAACUAUUUAUAAACUGCUU
rnacentral:lncRNA from 1 species